rnacentral:lncRNA from 1 species
GGAAAAUUGCCUUCAACAAAAUCUACGCCCUGCAGUGCUCCAACGUAAGCCACAGAAAUCUAGGCUGAAGCUUCUCUCAUUUCACAGAUUUACAGACAUUUAAGGAUACCUGUCUCUUGCCUCCUUAUUCUUCCCUUUCUUGAGUUAAACACACAUGGGUCUCUUAAUAGCACCGAGUGGUCCCCAGGACACUCUAGUGGGUCUCUAGCCAUUGGGUCCUUCUGCGGGGGACCUUAACUCAGUACUCUAGCUCAGUCUGAUUGGACAGGGAUGGAGCAAGUUCUUUGUGCUACUUAGUUACUACACAACCACUGAGGCGAGACUCAGGUGUACUUGCAGCCCCGGACAGGCUGAGUAGCUUCCUUCCAUGCUCUGAACAUAGAGCCCUGUAUGCACUGGUGCCCAGCUGAGGGCUCAUAGGCCCCUGGACAAGCGUCUCAGGAUGACUUAAAACUCAUUUUCAGGUCUGGCUCCUUAUUGCCAGACAUUUCUCUCUGCCACACCAUGUGUGUCUUGCUCUCUGUUCCAUCUGUGGCUCCCUUCCAACAAAGCCUGCCUGGUAUCUGCCUCAGAGUUCGCCCAAAAGAAACUUGGCAUCGAGGUUAAGAAAGACACAGCAGGACCUGUGUAGAGUCAGAGAAGGGAAAAACAAGUAUAGUCUGAGAAGGAAGGACUUCCACUCCUAAAUAUAUAGCGAAAACCUACUCAUCAUCUUCUGGGUGGACAGAGCCUGGUUUGUAUCACAGGAAGGGAUAUGGGAAUCAUGAUGCUGUCACCAAAUCAGGUAUCUCACAAAGGAUGAUCAGAGGAGGUCUUUGGAAGCUGAGAGGAUAUAGAUGAAUUUUAGAGAAGAUUAAAAUCUUCUCUCUACACAAUGGGAAGAAGUUAGCAGAGGUCUUUUACCUGGAAGAGCUGCACUGGCCAGCAAUUGAAGUGACUAUGCUCCCUUGCAUGUUGAGAAGAUGCAAAGUCAAGUGGCUGGAGAAACAGAACCACAUUUGCUGAGUACCUACAGUGUGCUAGAUGUUCCCCACAUUAUCUUGUGAAUCCUCCAAAUGGUCUUGCGAUGUAGAUAUUAAUUUUCCUGUUUUUAGAGAUGAGCCAACUGGGACUCAGAGCAUUUAAGUAACUUCCUCAAAAUUCCUGUCAGUAUGUAGCAGAGUUAGAGCUCAGUCUUGGGUCUUUCUGAAGUCAAAGCUUGUUUUCUUUUUGCUAAAGUAGCAGUUUUCAGUCCCAUCAGACCCAAGGCCCCUUUUUAUAAUAAAUAUCUUGUAACGUCUUCUUUACUACCCUGAAAAAAAAUCAUUGAAAACUAGUUUCUUUUCUUUUUUUUUCUUUUUUUUUUUUUUUUUGAGAUGGAGUCUCGCUCUGUCACCCAGGCUGGACUGCAGUGGCGUGAUCUCGGCUCACUGCAACCUCUGUCUCCCAGGUUCAAGCGAUUUUUCAGCCUCAGCCUCCCAAGUAGCUGGGACUACAGGUGCGUGCCACCACACCCAGCUAGUUUUUGUUUUUUUAGUAGAUACAGGGUUUCACUAUGUUGGCCAGGCUGGUCUCAACCUCCUGACCUCAUGAUCCGCCUUCCUUGGCCUCCCAAAGUGCUUGGAUUACAGGCAUAAGCCAUCACACCGGGCCUGAAAACUAAUCUUAUGUAUAGUACUUGGGUUUUGUUUGUUCGUUUGUUUUGUUUUUGUUUUUUGAGACAGGGUCUCACUCUGUUGCCCAGACCGGAGUGUAGUGGCAGGAUCAUGGCUCACUGUAGCCUCAACUUCCUGGGCUCAAGAAAUCCUCCCACCUCAGCCUCCCAAGUAGCUGGGGCUACAGGUGCAUACCACCAUGCCUGGCUAAUUUUUAUUUUUUGUGGAAAUGGGAUUUUGCCAUGUUGUCCAGGCUGGUCUCAAACUUCUGAGCUCAAGCGAUCCUCCCACCUCGGUCUCCCAAAGUACUGGGAUUACAGGCAUGAGCCACUGCACCUGGCCUAGUACUUGCUUUUCUUAAAAAAGCAAUAAUAUCUACAUAAAAACUUGUACACAAAUGUUUAUAGUGGCAUUACUCAUAAUAGCUAAAAAGUGGAAACGCCCAAACAUUAUCAACUGGAUGAUGGAUACAUAUAGUCUAUUCAUACAGUGGAAUAUUAUUCAGCAAUAAAAAAUGAAUGAAAUAUUGAUACAUGCUACAACAUAGAAGACUCUUGAAAACAUUAUGUUGAGUGAAUGAAACCAGUCACAAAGAACAAUAUACCAUGUGGUUCAAUUUAUAUGAAAUAUCCAGAAUAGGCAGAUCCAUAGAGAUGGAAAGUAGAUUAGUGGUUGCCUAGAGCUGGGGGAUGGAGGGACUGAGGGUGAAAUCUAAGGAAAGCAGGAUUUUUUUUUUUUUUUUUUGAGACGAAGUCUCACUUUUGUCCCCCAGGCUGGAGUGCAAUGGCACGAUCUCGGCUCACUGGAACCUCUGCCUCCUGGGUUCAAGCGAUUCUCCUGCGUCAGCCUCCCAAGUAGCUGGGAUUACAGGCACCUGCCACCAAGCCCAGCUAAUUUUUGUAUUUUUAGUAGAGACAGGGUUUCACCACGUUGGCCAGGCUAGUCUUGAACUCCUGACCUCAGGUGAUCUGCCUACCUCGGUCCCCCAUAGUGCUGUGAUACAGGUGUGAGCCACCGCGCCCGGCUGACCGAGCAGGAUUUUUUUGAAGGGUGUAAUGAAAGGAUUCUAAAACUGAUUGUGGUAAUGGAUGCACAAUUGUGACUAUACUAAAAACCAUUGAGUUGUAUACUUUAAGUGGGUAAAUUGUAUGGUGUGUGAAUUAUAUCUCAAUAAAGUACUUUUUAAAAAGCAAUAAAAUAAUGUCUUGGC